CACGUAGGGGACGAGCGUUGUCCGGAUUCAUUGGGCGUAAAGCGCGCGUAGGCGGCUCGGAAAGUCGGGCGUGAAAUGCCGGGGCUCAACCCCGGGACUGCGUCCGAUAUUUCCGAGCUGGAGGUAGGUAGGGGAGAUCGGAAUUCCUGGUGUAGCGGUGAAAUGCGCAGAUAUCAGGAGGAACACCGGUGGCGAAGGCGGAUCUCUGGGCCUUACCUGACGCUGAGGCGCGAAAGCUAGGGGAGCGAACAGG
rnacentral:rRNA from 1 species